UUAUGAUUUCUUCGGAAUGACGAUUUAGUGACUGAGUGGCGGACGGGUGAGUAACGCGUGGGUAACCUGCCUUGUACUGGGGGACAACAGUUGGAAACGACUGCUAAUACCGCAUAAGCGCACAGCUUCGCAUGAAGCAGUGUGAAAAACUCCGGUGGUAUGGGAUGGGCCCGCGUCUGAUUAGGCAGUUGGCGGGGUAACGGCCCACCAAACCGACGAUCAGUAGCCGGUCUGAGAGGAUGAACGGCCACACUGGAACUGAGACACGGUCCAGACUCC
rnacentral:rRNA from 1 species